AACGAACGCUGGCGGCAGGCCUAACACAUGCAAGUCGAGCGAAGCGCAAGCUUAGCGGCGGACGGGUUAAUAACGCGUGGGAACGUGCCCUUCUCUACGGAAUAGUCCCGGGAAACUGGGGGUAAUACCGUAUACGCCCUAUGGGGGAAAGAUUUAUCGGAGAAGGAUCGGCCCGCGUUGGAUUAGGUAGUUGGUGGGGUAAUGGCCUACCAAGCCGACGAUCCAUAGCUGGUUUGAGAGGAUGAUCAGCAACACUGGGACUGAGACACGGCCCAGACUCCUACGGGAGGCAGCAGUGGGGAAUCUUAGACAAUGGGCGCAAGCCUGAUCUAGCCAUGCCGCGUGGACGAUGAAGGCCUUAGGGUUGUAAAGUCCUUUCGCUGGGGAAGAUAAUGACGGUACCCAGUAAAGAAGCCCCGGCUAACUCCGUGCCAGCAGCCGCCGUAAAAC
rnacentral:rRNA from 1 species